CGCUAUUAGUUUAGCUCUUGCCUAAAAAAAGGACAACUGGAAAGCCAAUCAGUUAUUUUGAAGAAUGCAUUUCAGUUGCAAUAAAUUAUUUGAGGCAUUUGUCUCAGAGUUUCCUCUACUUGUUAACAACAGUUAACUAGUGGAAUUUAAUUGUCGUGCCCUCUCUUCCAAUAUUAAAUUCUAUGAAGGAUGUUGAAAGAGAGGGCACGACAAUUAA
rnacentral:misc_RNA from 1 species